rnacentral:misc_RNA from 1 species
GAUGAAGAACGUAGCGAAAUGCGAUAAGUAAUGUGAAUUGCAGAAUUCAGUGAAUCAUCGAAUCUUUGAACGCACAUUGCGCCCCUUGGUAUUCCGAGGGGCAUGCCUAUUCGAGCGUCAUUAUCACCCCUCAAGCCUAGCUUGGUGUUGAGGCCUGCUGUCAAGGCAGCCUCUAAAAUCAGUGGCAGUGCUGUCAGGCUCUAAGCGUAGUAAAUCUAAUCGCUAUAGACACCUGGUGGACACUAGCCAGAACCCCCCCAUUUUUUAAUGAUUGACCUCGGAUUAGGUAGGGAUACCCGCUGAACUUAAGCAUAUCAAUAAGCGGAGGA